UCGGAUGAGAUUAUUAUGAACAUUGGCAGAAGAGGCAAAAAAGGCCCUUUUUAGCGGGGACACCAAUUUAAGACAGAAUUAACAAGCAAAUGAUAUCUUUUUAUAUGCGGAUUUAUGAACUUCAAUUCAUUUUGGCAAGUACAUAAUCUAAAAACAAUAAGCUCCGCAACUAAAAGACCAAUACUGAUUUUGUUCCAGUACCUGAAAAAUAAUAGCACAGGCUCAGGCAAUGUGAUGAAGAUCUGGCAUUUAAUAGAAACUUGGGUUAGCACAAUAGAAUUAGCACUAGGAGGAGGAAAAAAUAUGGCACGACAGCAAGUUAGCUAGAAUAACCAGUCUGCAUUUUACAGAACCCAAGAAACAUCCAAAAAACAAACAAACAAACUGCUGAAUGCAAUGUCACUGUGCAAUAGAGUUACUGUAGUGGUCAGUUCUAAUCUAUGCAAAUUUUAGGCUUAACAAGUGGUCUAAGGCACAUUACCAGGAAUUGCAAAAGAUAAAUUCAUUUCCCAGUCAUCUAAUCCUCAGUCCUGACUGGCUUGAAGGAAAAAAACCUCCUGGCUAGUUAAUUGAAUAUGCUGC
rnacentral:lncRNA from 1 species